GCGGAGGAAAAGAAACCAACAGGGAUUGCCUCAGUAACGGCGAGUGAAGCGGCAACAGCUCAAAUUUGAAAUCUGGUCACCUUACGGAGGCCCGAGUUGUAAUUUGAAGAGGAUGCUUUUGGCGAGGUGCCUUCCGAGUGCCCUGGAACGGGACGCCACAGAGGGUGAGAGCCCCGUAUGGUUGGACACCGAGCCUAUGUAAAGCUCCUUCGACGAGUCGAGUAGUUUGGGAAUGCUGCUCAAAAUGGGAGGUAAACCCCUUCUAAAGCUAAAUAUUGGCCAGAGACCGAUAGCGCACAAGUAGAGUGAUCGAAAGAUGAAAAGCACUUUGAAAAGAGAGUUAAAAAGCACGUGAAAUUGUUGAAAGGGAAGCGCUUGCGACCAGACUUGCGCCCGUCGGAUCAACCGUCGCUUGUCGGCGGCUCACUCCGGCGGGCUCAGGCCAGCAUCAGUUUUCCCGGGGGGAGAAAGGCGGUGGGAAUGUGGCUCUUCGGAGUGUUAUAGCCCGCCGC
rnacentral:rRNA from 1 species